UCAGAGUACGUGAAACCGUUCUGGGGUAAACGGGUGGAGCCCUAAAGGUCGAAAGGAGAGAUUCAGUAUCCAGUCCGACUGCCGCUGCGCGUCGUAGGGUAAAUGCCGGGUGGCCUCGCAAGGGGUCUCGCUCGGGGCCCUCGACGCGGGUACGCGCGCGGGAGGUGGAGCGCACUUCUCUCCGAGUAGGACGUCGCGACCCGUUCGGUGUCGGCCUAAGGCCUGGGUGCGAGCCCGCUUCGCGGUUCGCCGCGGUGCGGAGCCCCGGUGUCCCGGCCGACUGCCAGACGGUAAAACAAUGGAAACGGCCCGCGUGCUUCUAGCUCGCGCGCGUGCCUCGCGCAAGCGUUCGGACGGACCCUAUCGUGCGGACUCGUGCCGUCGAAGGCCGUCCGGCGCUGUUGGCGCGGGGAUUUCUCGCGCAGUGGCCUGCUCCUGUUUGCGGCGCUCAAAGCAGGGUGGCCCACCCGGCCCGUCUUGAAACACGGACCAAGGAGUCUAACAUGUGCGCGAGUCACUGGGUACCACGAAACCCAAGGGCGUAUUGAACGAAAAGGUCGGCCUCGUGUCGGCUUAGGGAAGAUGGAGGCCCUCCGGGGUCUCCCGCAUUCCCGGGGCGUCUCGUCCUACUUCCGCUUGUCGGUCGAAGGUGAGGCGCACCAAGAGCGCACACGUUGGGACCCGAAAGAUGGUGAACUAUGCCUGGCCAGGACGAAGUCAGGGGAAACCCUGAUGGAGGUCCGUAGCGGUUCUGACGUGCAAAUCGAUCGUCGGAGCUGGGUAUAGGGGCGAAAGACUAAUCGAACCAUCUAGUAGCUGGU
rnacentral:rRNA from 1 species